rnacentral:rRNA from 1 species
GUAAAAAGUAGAAUAAUAGAUUUGAAAUAUUUAUUAUAUAGAUUUAAAGAGAUAAUCAUGGAGUAUAAAAAUUAAAUUUAAUAAAUUUAAUAUAACUAUUAAUAGAAUUAGGUUACUAAUAAAUUAAUAACAAUUAAUUUUAAAACCUAAAGGUAAACCUUUAUAUUAAUAAUGUUUUUUUUUUUUUAUUUUUAUAAUUAAGAAUAAUUAUUAAUAAUAAUAAACUAAGUGAACUGAAACAUCUAAGUAACUUAAGGAUAAUAAAUCAACAGAGAUAUUAUGAGUAUUGGUGAGAGAAAAUAAUAAAGGUCUAAUAAGUAUUAUGUGAAAAAAAUGUAAGAAAAUAGGAUAACAAAUUCUAAGACUAAAUACUAUUAAUAAGUAUAGUAAGUACCGUAAGGGAAAGUAUGAAAAUGAUUAUUUUAUAAGCAAUCAUGAAUAUAUUAUAUUAUAUUAAUGAUGUACCUUUUGUAUAAUGGGUCAGCAAGUAAUUAAUAUUAGUAAAACAAUAAGUUAUAAAUAAAUAGAAUAAUAUAUAUAUAUAAAAAAAUAUAUUAAAAUAUUUAAUUAAUAUUAAUUGACCCGAAAGCAAACGAUCUAACUAUGAUAAGAUGGAUAAACGAUCGAACAGGUUGAUGUUGCAAUAUCAUCUGAUUAAUUGUGGUUAGUAGUGAAAGACAAAUCUGGUUUGCAGAUAGCUGGUUUUCUAUGAAAUAUAUGUAAGUAUAGCCUUUAUAAAUAAUAAUUAUUAUAUAAUAUUAUAUAAAUAUUAUAUAAAGAAUGGUACAGCAAUUAAUAUAUAUUAGGGAACUAUUAAAGUUUUAUUAAUAAUAUUAAAUCUCGAAAUAUUUAAUUAUAUAUAAUAAAGAGUCAGAUUAUGUGCGAUAAGGUAAAUAAUCUAAAGGGAAACAGCCCAGAUUAAGAUAUAAAGUUCCUAAUAAAUAAUAAGUGAAAUAAAUAUUAAAAUAUUAUAAUAUAAUCAGUUAAUGGGUUUGACAAUAACCAUUUUUUAAUGAACAUGUAACAAUGCACUGAUUUAUAAUAAAUAAAAAAAAUAAUAUUUAAAAUCAAAUAUAUAUAUAUUUGUUAAUAGAUAAUAUACGGAUCUUAAUAAUAAGAAUUAUUUAAUUCCUAAUAUGGAAUAUUAUAUUUUUAUAAUAAUAAUAAAAAUAUAAAUACUGAAUAUCUAAAUAUUAUUAUUACUUUUUUUUUUAAUAAUAAUAAUAUGGUAAUAGAACAUUUAAUGAUAAUAUAUAUUAGUUAUUAAUUAAUAUAUGUAUUAAUUAAAUAGAGAAUGCUGACAUGAGUAACGAAAAAAAGGUAUAAACCUUUUCACCUAAAACAUAAGGUUUAACUAUAAAAGUACGGCCCCUAAUUAAAUUAUAUAAGAAUAUAAAUAUAUUUAAGAUGGGAUAAUCUAUAUUAAUAAAAAUUUAUCUUAAAAUAUAUAUAUUAUUAAUAAUUAUAUUAAUUAAUUAAUAAUAUAUAUAAUUAUAUUAUAUAUUAUAUUUUUAUAUAUAAUAUAUAUAAUAUAAACUAAUAAAGAUCAGGAAAUAAUUAAUGUAUACCGUAAUGUAGACCGACUCAGGUAUGUAAGUAGAGAAUAUGAAGGUGAAUUAGAUAAUUAAAGGGAAGGAACUCGGCAAAGAUAGCUCAUAAGUUAGUCAAUAAAGAGUAAUAAGAACAAAGUUGUACAACUGUUUACUAAAAACACCGCACUUUGCAGAAACGAUAAGUUUAAGUAUAAGGUGUGAACUCUGCUCCAUGCUUAAUAUAUAAAUAAAAUUAUUUAACGAUAAUUUUAUUAAAUUUAGGUAAAUAGCAGCCUUAUUAUGAGGGUUAUAAUGUAGCGAAAUUCCUUGGCCUAUAAUUGAGGUCCCGCAUGAAUGACGUAAUGAUACAACAACUGUCUCCCCUUUAAGCUAAGUGAAAUUGAAAUCGUAGUGAAGAUGCUAUGUACCUUCAGCAAGACGGAAAGACCCUAUGCAGCUUUACUGUAAUUAGAUAGAUCGAAUUAUUGUUUAUUAUAUUCAGCAUAUUAAGUAAUCCUAUUAUUAGGUAAUCGUUUAGAUAUUAAUGAGAUACUUAUUAUAAUAUAAUGAUAAUUCUAAUCUUAUAAAUAAUUAUUAUUAUUAUUAUUAAUAAUAAUAAUAUGCUUUCAAGCAUAGUGAUAAAACAUAUUUAUAUGAUAAUCACUUUACUUAAUAGAUAUAAUUCUUAAGUAAUAUAUAAUAUAUAUUUUAUAUAUAUUAUAUAUAAUAUAAGAGACAAUCUCUAAUUGGUAGUUUUGAUGGGGCGUCAUUAUCAGCAAAAGUAUCUGAAUAAGUCCAUAAAUAAAUAUAUAAAAUUAUUGAAUAAAAAAAAUAAUAUAUAUUAUAUAUAUUAAUUAUAAAUUGAAAUAUGUUUAUAUAAAUUUAUAUUUAUUGAAUAUAUUUUAGUAAUAGAUAAAAAUAUGUACAGUAAAAUUGUAAGGAAAACAAUAAUAACUUUCUCCUCUCUCGGUGGGGGUUCACACCUAUUUUUAAUAGGUGUUCACCCCUCUUCGGGGUUCCGGUUCCCUUUCGGGUCCCGGAACUUAAAUAAAAAUGGAAAGAAUUAAAUUAAUAUAAUGGUAUAACUGUGCGAUAAUUGUAACACAAACGAGUGAAACAAGUACGUAAGUAUGGCAUAAUGAACAAAUAACACUGAUUGUAAAGGUUAUUGAUAACGAAUAAAAGUUACGCUAGGGAUAACAGGGUAAUAUAACGAAAGAGUAGAUAUUGUAAGUUAUGUUUGCCACCUCGAUGUCGACUCAACAUUUCCUCUUGGUUGUAAAAGCUAAGAAGGGUUUGACUGUUCGUCAAUUAAAAUGUUACGUGAGUUGGGUUAAAUACGAUGUGAAUCAGUAUGGUUCCUAUCUGCUGAAGGAAAUAUUAUCAAAUUAAAUCUCAUUAUUAGUACGCAAGGACCAUAAUGAAUCAACCCAUGGUGUAUCUAUUGAUAAUAAUAUAAUAUAUUUAAUAAAAAUAAUACUUUAUUAAUAUAUUAUCUAUAUUAGUUUAUAUUUUAAUUAUAUAUUAUCAUAGUAGAUAAGCUAAGUUGAUAAUAAAUAAAUAUUGAAUACAUAUUAAAUAUGAAGUUGUUUUAAUAAGAUAAUUAAUCUGAUAAUUUUAUACUAAAAUUAAUAAUUAUAGGUUUUAUAUAUUAUUUAUAAAUAAAUAUAUUAUAAUAAUAAUAAUUAUUAUUAUUAAUAAAAAAUAUUAAUUAUAAUAUUAAUAAAAUACUAAUUUAUCAGUUAUCUAUAUAAUAUCUAAUCUAUUAUUCUAUAUACU